rnacentral:rRNA from 1 species
UACUCAGUUCAGAUUGCAGGCUGCAACCCGCCUGCAUGAAGUCGGAAUUGCUAGUAAUCGCGGAUCAGCAUGCCGCGGUGAAUACGUUCCCGGGCCUUGUACACACCGCCCGUCGCACCAUGGGAGCCGGUAAUACCCGAAGUCAGUAGUCCAACCUCGUGAGGACGCUGCCGAAGGUAGGAUUGGCGACUGGGGUGAAGUCGUAACAAGGUAGC